AAGUCGUAACAAGGUUUCCGUAGGUGAACCUGCGGAAGGAUCAUUAACACGAAUUUAUAUUCUAUCCAAUAUCAAAACCAAACGUGAACUUUUCCCCUCCCUAUAUAUUUAUAUACUACGGUAUUUUAUAUAGGCUAACCUUUUUUAUUUUAAACCCUUUUAACUUCAACUAGUUUUAAUACUCUAAGAAUAUUAAAACAACUAACUAAAAGAAAAACUCAAGGUUAUUCGAAAGAGCAACUCUUAGUUUUUUUUUUCGAUUUUACGAAAAAAAU
rnacentral:misc_RNA from 1 species